GACACAGGGAAAAUACAGAUGGAGGCAUGACUUGGUCCUCAGAGAGUUGGCUGACUGGCUAGAGAAAGAACGGAAGAAGGAACGUGGCAAUUACCCUCGCCAUGGGCACAUCGCUUGCGUCAAAUCGGGUGAGACCAUGAAGACACAGAAACCAACAAAAGCAUCAAUUCUUGAUGGCACGAGAGACUGGAAGACCUUGGUAGAAGGCUUGUUUUCGCAAACGUGGUUCAAACGACCCUUUGACCAGAUAUUGUAUUGUGGUCAGAGACAGGAAAGAAGCUCGUCACCAUAGAGCUUACAGUACCAUGGGAGGCAAGAUGUGAAGAGGCCUUCGAGCGGAAGAAGGCAAAGUACACAGAACUCAUGGAUCUGUGCAAGCAACAAGGCUGGCGUACUUGGCUAUUUCCCGUGGAAGUUGGCGUUAGAGGGUUCUGUUCCCAGUCCGUGCACAGGCUGAUGACAGCAGUACGAACUACUGGCAGGGAGAGCGAAGUGGCUAUCCAGAGACUGAGCUACGCAGCUGAACGGGCAUCAAGCUGGCUGUGGCUGAGGCGAGAGGAGAAGAGCUGGAGGCAAUCAACCAACACGAAGUGACUGAUUACCACUGUGGGCCCACCGCUAUCAGAAUGUUCAUGGAAUUAAAAGGGCCGAAACAUUCUAAGACGGCGGCAUCCAUGCUGAUGAUGUUGGUAGAGGAGCAGUCUAUAACCAAGCACAGAUUGGCCUUAGCUGCACCAGCUGCCAGAGGGGCUCCUGGAGGGAGAGGUGCCGCUGCCCCUGCAAAACCAGGGGCCGAAACUCCUGCUCUACCAGAAGCCAAAAAUAUCCAGUGAAGGAGGAGCCAACCAAAGAGGAGGCCGCUCCUUAACCAGCCCUUUAUUAGGCCCCGCCACAAUAAACACGAAGUCCUUCAGGCCCAGCCUUGGACUGGCCUGGGCACAUAGGACAGCCAAUGAGAUUCCAGAUGCCAAGAAAUAUUAUAAUGAGGUCAUCGCCAUAUCCCCAGAUGUAAAGGUUCUUUCAAAUUUUAAAGAAAUAUAAACAUUAAAUAAAGACGUGACACACUGAAAUUGUGAUUUACUGGUAGGUAAUAAGAUAGAUCAUCUAAAGUGUACAAAAGCAAUAUAUAUAUGUUCUUAUAAAAGCAUACAUAAUAUCUAUAUAUUUAAGAUUGCAUGCAUAUUAUUAAAUUCUGAUUUGUUAACUGUUUAUUGCAAGUCUGGACUACAUUAAAAUCAUUAAUUAUACGUUGAGAAUAUCACUAUUGAAAACGAAUUUUUAUCUGUGAACUUAUCGUGGUGUUCCAGUCCUUGCUGUCAUUAUGAAUAAAUCAAAACAAUUGUGAAAUAUAUCGCAAUCUCAACUGUAUGCUAUCAUUUACGGAGCUCAUUGAUUCUUGAUAAAUGGAGGAUACAGUAACACCAUGUACAAGAACAUACUACAUGUAUUUCGGGCAAUUAGAUAAUGUCCUACCAAUAGAGGACUAAUUUGAAACACUUGCAAUAAACUGUAUAUAAUCAAAUUGAGAUUAAACCAUGUAACAUGG